rnacentral:tRNA from 1 species
GGGGAUGUAGCUCAGAUGGUAGAGCGCUCGCUUAGCAUGCGAAAGGUAUGGGGAUCGGUACCCGCAUCUCCA